AUCCAGCUGACGAGUGCCAAAUAGGACGAAACGCGCGUCAAACUGCAU
rnacentral:hammerhead_ribozyme from 1 species